GACGAACGCUGGCGGCGUGCUUAACACAUGCAAGUCGAACGGAAAGGCCCUGCUUUUGUUGGGUGCUCGAGUGGCGAACGGGUGAGUAACACGUGAGUAACCUGCCCUUGACUUUGGGAUAACUUCAGGGAACUGGGGCUAAUACCGGAUAUGAGCUCCUGCUGCAUGGUGGUGGUUGGAAAGUUUCGGCGGUUGGGGAUGGACUCGCGGCUUAUCCGCUUGUUUGUCGGGUAGUUGCGUACCAAGGCUUUGACGGGUAGCCGGCCUGAGAGGGUGACCGGCCACAUUGGGACUGAGAUACGGACCAGACUCCUACGGGAGGCAGCAGGGGGGAGUAUGGCAGAGUGGGCGGAAGCGUGAGGCAGCAACGCCGGGUGCGGGAUGACGGCCUUCGGGUUGUAAACCGCUUUCGCAUGUGACGAAGAGUGAGUGACGGUAAUGGGUAAAGAAGCACCGGCUAACUACGUG
rnacentral:rRNA from 1 species